ACACACUAUAUUUACUUCAUAUUUGCCAAUAUCUUUGCAGAAGUGCAAAUGUAUAAAAGAAUUUGCAAUAACUUUGCACCUAGCUGCAAAGAUGAAGCAAAUAUAGUAAACAGAUUUUACUUUAUUUUUGCUUGUAAAACUGUCUGUCUUUUGAAUGGAAACGGCUCCGCGGACCUUUUCAAUUCUGCAAACAUAUUUACAG